rnacentral:misc_RNA from 1 species
CGGGGCACUUGGACCCUGUGAUGCCACGCCCUAAGGUGUGUGUGUGUGUACCCCUCGUCCCCCGCCCCGCCCCGCCCCCUCCCGCGUCCAUCAGGACUUUCGAACAAAAUGAGGCCCAGAGAAUAGCCGAAACAGUAUUGUACGUUUUGGGGGGUUGUUUUCGCGAUGGAGAAGAGGUGAGGUGUGUAUCUCUCAUUCUCUAAGCAUAUAUGCAUACAUGCAUAUGUAUAGGUGUGUAGAUGUAUGCAUAUAUACGCAUAUAUAUAUAUAUAUAUACUACGACUACGACUUUUAAUGACGACUACGACGACGAAGGCGCCGACUACUACUACGUGUGUGUGUGUGCCCUGUAUUGCUGGCUUUUUGAUGUCGUUGCUUGCUUGUUUGUGUCUUCUAAGAACCUGUGUGGAGCACAAGCAGAGGAAGCGCCGGGUCCUCGCGAUGUCUCUCCUUCUCUAAGACAAUCCCCACCCCAUCCCCGCCCCUUUUGUAUCUCGUUCUGUAGUCCGCCGUCUACUCGCUUCCCCUCCUUUACAGCCGUUUUUUUGUUGUUGUUGCUGUUGUUCUCUUUGUGUGUUUGAUGUUGGUUCCCUUUGGCGUCUCGCCAUGCACGGCGGACCACUCUUCAUCUCCCCCACCUCUCCCUCCUCACGUUAUCUUGUCGGUCUUCUCUAUAUUUUCUCCCCUGUAUCGGCCUGUGCGAGUGAUGUUCUCUUCGGUUUUUGUACCCGCGAUGUAAAAGGUGAGGAGGAGAAGGACAACAUCAGCCAUGCGAAGGGGUGGAUGCGCGAGAGAGAGUGAUGACGGCAGGGCGCCCAUCACGGGGGUGAGAGAGGAUAAGAAAGUCGUGCCCAGCAUGCACAAGUGCGCAGAAAGUAGAUGGAGCGAUUCGCUGACGCGACGUUAGCGUGCACACUUGCUGUCGCUCCUUCCUCUCCCGCCCUCCCAGGUGCUCUGUAUCGAUGUCGCUCCGCCCGCCGGCCCGAUUCCCGAAUCACGUCGACGAGGGAGGGAGCACUUCCGCCCACCCCCUCCACCACCUCUAUGCCGUCGUCGUAGUUCUCGUUGGCGGCGUCGCUUUUCUUUUUCUCGCCUUAUUUGCUUUCGCUUUCGUUGUAUCGUGUCGUCUCAUUCUACUCGGGCGUCUCCGGCAGCCCAUCCGCGUGCGCGCGCACGAAAACAAGGGCAAGCAGAUGCCACUCUGACCUGUAUGAGCUCUUUUCUCCCCUUUUCCUCCCCCCUCCUGUCGCUCCCUCGUUGUUGUUGGUUGUGUAUCACCUCAUCGUCUGUGCGCGUACUUCCCCCCUCCCAACACACGCACACACGCACGCACAAAACCGCCUCACUCCCCCCCCAAAAAAAAAAAAUGAUUCGGAAUAUUAACAUCAGCGGAAAUCUGAAG